UACGGAGGGUGCAAGCGUUAUCCGGAUUCACUGGGUUUAAAGGGUGCGUAGGAGGACUGGUAAGCUAUGUGGAUCCGAACCGACUUAACUUGGGAACUGCCGUUGAUACUAUCAGUCUUGAAUACCGUGGAGGUGAGCGGAAUAUGUCAUGUAGCGGUGAAAUGCUUAGAUAUGACAUAGAACACCAAUUGCGAAGGCAGCUCGCUACACGAAUAUUGACUCUGAGGCACGAAAGCGUGGGGAUCAAACAGG
rnacentral:rRNA from 1 species